rnacentral:rRNA from 1 species
GGACCCGCACAAGCGGUGGAGUAUGUGGUUUAAUUCGAUGCAACGCGAAGAACCUUACCAGGGUUUGACAUCCUGCGAAUCUCUUGGAAACGAGAGAGUGCCUUCGGGAACGCAGUGACAGGUGGUGCAUGGCUGUCGUCAGCUCGUGUCGUGAGAUGUUGGGUUAAGUCCCGCAACGAGCGCAACCCACGUCUUUAGUUGCCAGCAUUUAGUUGGGCACUCUAGAGAGACCGCCGGUGAUAAACCGGAGGAAGGUGGGGAUGACGUCAAAUCAUCAUGCCCCUUAUGUCCAGGGCUUCACACAUGCUACAAUGGUCGGUACAACGCGCAGCGACACUGUGAGGUGGAGCGAAUCGCUGAAAGCCGGCCUUAGUUCGGAUUGGGGUCUGCAACUCGACCCCAUGAAGUCGGAGUCGCUAGUAAUCGC